rnacentral:lncRNA from 1 species
CCAAAAUACCACUGAGUUCAAUUUUUUAUAGUCAAAAUAUCACUAGUUCAUAACUGAGACUAACACCAUCUAAAAAAGACUUACAUGCCCUUACCUCUUCAACACAGAAUGAACAAACACAAAAUGGUUCACACAAGUCACAACAGAGUAUAGCAGAUUUUUAUACUAGCAGAUAGAGAGUACCACAAGCAUCAGAGAUUCAUCCCACCAGCUGCCGUCGAGGGCCUGGAAGGACGACGUCAGGCCUCGUCGGGGGCGAGCGGGAGGGCGCCAGCGGCUGACGUCGAGGCCAAAGGACGUCGUCGCCAGGGCCCGGUCCUCGUCGGGGGCCAGCGACUGUUGUCGAGGCCAGAGGGCGGCGCUGGGGCCUGGUCCUCGUCAGGGGCGAGCGGUAGGGCGGCGCUGGGCGGUGACGCUACGGGAGGGCGGCGUGGCGACCGGAAGGGCGGCGGAGUGAGCGUCGGCGCGCCGUCAUGGGUAAGGUGGGAGAGGAUACGGGAGAGAUUGGGCUAGGGUCCUAUGUAUAGGUUUAUUAUGGGAGCGUUUUGAGAAUACCAGAAAAACUGAUUAGACAUUAACGAUUUGACUCACAUAAUUAGUUUGACAUUUCACGGAAAUGUCAUUGUGGCAUGAAAAACUAAGAGAGG